rnacentral:rRNA from 1 species
GACGAACGCUGGCGGCGUGCUUAACACAUGCAAGUCGAACGGAAAGGCCCUGCUUUUGUGGGGUGCUCGAGUGGCGAACGGGUGAGUAACACGUGAGUAACCUGCCCUUGACUUUGGGAUAACUUCAGGAAACUGGGGCUAAUACCGGAUAGGAGCGCCUGCUGCAGGGUGGGGGUUGGAAAGUUUCGGCGGUUGGGGAUGGACUCGCGGCUUAUCAGCUUGUUGGUGGGGUAGUGGCUUACCAAGGCUUUGACGGGUAGCCGGCCUGAGAGGGUGACCGGCCACAUUGGGACUGAGAUACGGCCCAGACUCCUACGGGAGGCAGCAGUGGGGAAUAUUGCACAAUGGGCGGAAGCCUGAUGCAGCAACGCCGCGUGCGGGAUGACGGCCUUCGGGUUGUAAACCGCUUUCGCCUGUGACGAAGCGUGAGUGACGGUAAUGGGUAAAGAAGCACCGGCUAACUACGUG